rfam:Felis catus isolate Cinnamon breed Abyssinian chromosome X, whole genome shotgun sequence.
GCCUGGCUGGCUCAGUUGGUAGAGCAUGUGACUCGAUCUCAGGGUUGUGAGUUCAAUCCCCACGUUGGGCA